UACAGAGGGUGCAAGCGUUAAUCGGAAUUACUGGGCGUAAAGCGUGCGUAGACGGUUAUGUAAGUCAGAUGUGAAAGCCCCGGGCUCAACCUGGGAAUUGCAUUUGAGACUGCAUAGCUAGGGUGCGGAAGAGGGAAGCGGAAGUUUCCGGUGUAGCGGUGAAAGUGCGUAGAUAUCGGAAGGAACACCAGUGGCGAAAGCGGCUUCCUGGUCCAGCACCGACGUCAGGCACGAAAGCGUGGGGAGCAAACAGG
rnacentral:rRNA from 1 species